CGGAGGAAAAGAAACUAACAAGGAUUCCCCUAGUAACGGCGAGUGAACCGGGAAAAGCUCAAAUUUGAAAUCUGGCGUCCUCAGGGCGUCCGAGUUGUAAUCUAUAGAGGCGUUUUCCGUGCCGGACCGUGUCCAAGUCCCUUGGAACAGGGUAUCAAAGAGGGUGACAAUCCCGUACUUGACACGACUACCGGUGCUCUGUGAUACGUCUUCUACGAGUCGAGUUGUUUGGGAAUGCAGCUCAAAAUGGGUGGUGAGUUCCAUCUAAAGCUAAAUAUUGGCGAGAGACCGAUAGCGAACAAGUACCGUGAGGGAAAGAUGAAAAGCACUUUGGAAAGAGAGUUAAACAGUACGUGAAAUUGUUGAAAGGGAAACGAUUGAAGUCAGUCGUGACCGAGAGGCUCAGCCGGCUCUGCCGGUGUAUUCCCCUCGGUCGGGUCAACAUCAGUUUUGUCCGGUGGAUAAGGGCGGUAGGAAGGUGGCACCCACGGGUGUGUUAUAGCCUGCCGUCGCAUACACUGGGUGAGACUGAGGAAUGCAGCUCGCCUUUAUGGCCGGGGUUCGCCCACGUCCGAGCUUAGGAUGUUGACAUAAUGGCUUUAAACGACCC
rnacentral:rRNA from 1 species